UGUAAGAAGUGGGCUCUGCUUCUAGGAAGCCUGUGGUCUGAGAGGGAAGAAGGACUACCAAUAAGGGAUCGUUAUCAAAGUGCAGUCAGAGAGGGUCAGGGAGCGUCUCCCUGAGAGGACAAGGGUGAGGAACAGUGGGAGUGAGCACGUUUGCAGCCGGGGAAGAACCUCCGGGAAGCUUUGAGCCACCCUGGAUUGGGUGAAAUGAAGCUGAGCAGCUGAAGACCGAAGGUCGCACCUUUUGUGUGAAUGAAGGAGAGAGGAAGUCCAGAUGAAAUCUCAUUUCACUGUGCUGUGCGCAUCGGGUCUGGUUCACGUUGAUCUACCUGAGAGGAGCUGGGAACAUGCUGUUUCUCAUCAUUUUCACCCAGCAAGAGAACUGGAGAGAGAGAGCUACACCCAAACCAAUUAUGGUCAGGCCCUCUGGGCUGUUACAUAAUAUUUCAGGAGACAGUGGAGUGAAGCGGACCUCGGCGUCCCAGAGGUAUUCUGCCAAGGCAGUGUGCUCUCCUUGCUUGGAAGUCUUGGAAGCCCCCUACCACCUCUGA
rnacentral:lncRNA from 1 species